ensembl:lncRNA
GUAGAUUAGACUGUGGGGUGAUGGUCCGGCUGGUAGAUUAGACUGUGGGGUGAUGGUCCGGCUGGUAGAUUAGUGCCCCUAGUUCCAUGUAUCAACACAUUAUUUCAGUUGUAUUAAAACCAGGAACAUGUGGAAAGUCCCCUACUGAGUACAGACCCAUAAGUUUAAUACACUGUGACAAAAUAGUAACAAAGCUCAUGAGCAAUAGAAUGACAACAGUCUUACCUGAUACAUAUCAAUCAAACAGGGUUUAUUCAAAUUAGACACAAACUAAUACAUGUUUCAGUUUAAAACAAUACGCAAAAAGAUAUGGAUUUAUCAAUAAUGGCUGUUGGUCAAAGGCUGAAUGACCAUUUCUAUUCAAAACAUCAGAAGCGUUGAACUUUCCGGCAAAAAUAAUACAUUUGAUAAAAAUAUGAUAUAAAUGAUAUAUAUUUUUCAAGAUCUUCAUGAAUAAGAAAAAGAUUACAUGGACAGGGGGGACCUGAUCCUAGAUCAGCACUCAUUUUAUGAGGCCCAGUCAAUAACUCUCACAAUCAGACUAUCACGUUUCAGGUAAGACCCAAAUGCAGACUGUUGAAGUAACAAUGUGUAUUAAAGCAGCAAGGGGAAGGAAAACGACAGGUCAAGGCAGGCAGGGGUCGAUAAUCAAGAGUAGGGGCCAAGGUACAGGACUGCAGUCAGGGGUCGAUAAUCAAGAGUAGAGGCCAAGGUACAGGACUGCAGGCAGGGUCAGGACAGGCAAAGGUCAAAACCAGGAGAGCGAGAAAUAGAGACUGGGGAAAAGCAGUAGCUGAUACAAAACGCUGGUUGACUUGACAAACUGGCAACCGACAGAGAACAAGUACCCAGGGGAGAAUGGGGAGAGGUACCCAGGGGAGAAUGGGCGACACCUGGAGGAGGGUUCGAGACAAGCACAAGGACAGGUGAAACAGAUCAGGGCGUGACACAGACAAGAUAACUUUAUAUAGUAAAUAAAUAGUAAGGUAAGUGUUCUGGGUUGUCGUGGUGAUAACAUGGUGUAAAGGUAGAAACCUCUCCAGCUGUAGAGGGCUUGAACUGUCCCUAGCUACCCUCUAGGCUGUAGGGGGCUUGAACUGUCCCUAGCUACCCUCUAGGCUGUAGGGGGCUUGAACUGUUCCUAGCUACCCUCUAGGCUGUAGGGGGCUUGAACUGGGCCAACUGUCCCUAGCUACCCUCUAGGCUGUAGAGGGCUUAAACUGUCCCUAGCUACCCUCUAGGCUGUAGAGGGCUUGAACUGUCCCUAGCUACCCUCUAGGCUCUAGAGGGCUUGAACUAGGCCAACUGUCCCUAGCUACCCUCUGGGCUGUAGAGGGCUUGAACUAGGCCAACUGUCCCUAGCUACCCUCUGGGCUGUAGAGGGCUUGAACUGUCCCAAGCUACCCUCUAGGCUGUAGAGGGCUUGAACUGUCCCUAGCUACUCUCUAGGCUGUAGGGGGCUUGAACUGGGCCAAC